AGUUUUCUUCAGAAACGAGGAUAUUCCUCUACUGGCGGUAACAGCCCGCGAGCGGUCAGCAAAUCCGGUGGAAUUCCGGAGCCAACAGGUUCGGUCUGGACGGGAGAAGAAGGCU
rnacentral:ncRNA from 1 species